rnacentral:rRNA from 1 species
GACGAACGCUGGCGGCGUGCUUAACACAUGCAAGUCGAACGCUGAAGACCUGGCUUUUGUUGGGUUGGAUGAGUGGCGAACGGGUGAGUAACACGUGAGUAACCUGCCCUCUUCUUUGGGAUAACGCCCGGAAACGGGUGCUAAUACUGGAUAUUCACUGAUCUUCGCAUGGGGGUUGGUGGAAAGGUUUGUUCUGGUGGGGGAUGGGCUCGCGGCCUAUCAGCUUGUUGGUGGGGUGAUGGCCUACAAAGGCUUUGACGGGUAGCCGGCCUGAGAGGGGGACCGGUCACAUUGGGACUAAGAUCCGGACCAGGCUACUCCGGGAGGCGGCAGUGGGGAAUAUUGCACAAUGGGCGAAUGCCUGAUGCAGCGACGACGCGUGAGGGAGGGAGGCCUUCGGAUUGUAAACCUCUUUCGCUCAUGGUCAAGCCGCAACUGUGGGUUGUGAUGAGGGUAGUGGGUAAAGAAGCGCCGGCUAACUACGUG